GGGUCAGUAGGUUGGUCGUGCCACCGGUACGUACUGGUCUCACUGAUUCCUCCUUCCUGAAGAACCGUAAUGCCAUUAAUCUGGUGUUGCGGGGAAACAGGACUGUUACUUUGAAAAAAUUAGAGUGUUUAAAGCAAGCUAACGCUUGAAUACAUUAGCACGGAAUAAUGAAAUAGGACGAUCGAUCCUAUUUUGUUGGUUUCUAGGAUUGACGUA
rnacentral:rRNA from 1 species